rnacentral:rRNA from 1 species
UAAUACGUAGGACCCGAGCGUUGUCCGGAAUUACUGGGUAUAAAGGGUGCGCAGGCGGCCGUGUGCGUCAGAGGUGAAAUCUCCGGGCUUAACCCGGAGGGUGCCUUUGAUACGGCAUGGCUUGAGUCCGAGAGAGGGUGAUGGAAUUCCUGGUGUAGCAGUGAAAUGCGUAGAUAUCAGGAGGAACACCGGUGGCGAAGGCGGUCACCUGGCUCGGCACUGACGCUUAGGCACGAAAGCGUGGGGAUCAAACAGGAUUAGAUACCCUGGUAGUCCACGCCCUAAACGAUGUAUGCUUGGUGUUGGAUCAGCAAUGAUUCAGUGCCGAAGGGAAUCUGUUAAGCAUACCACCUGGGGAGUACGAUCGCAAGGUUGAAACUUAAAUGAAUUGACGG